UCACAGGCAUUAUAAAUUGAGGAGCACU
rnacentral:piRNA from 1 species